GGAGCUGUGGCUUAAGUGGUAGAGUGCUAGCCUUCAGAGCUAGCUGAACUCAAAGAGCAGGUCCU
rnacentral:tRNA from 1 species